UGAGACGCAGCCUUGAUUCACAAAAGUGUUAAAGCACAGGGAGUGUAGUGCUCCCCCUUGUGUUCACAUGAGUGUAGUGCUCCCCCUUGUGUUCACAUGAGUGUAGUGCUCCCCCUUGUGUUCACAUGAGUGUAGUGCUCCCCCUUGUGUUCACAUGAGUGUAGUGCUCCCCCUUGUGUUGACAUGAGUGUAGUGCUCCCCCUUGUGUUCACAUGAGUGUAGUGCUCCCCCUUGUGUUCACAUGAGUGUACUGCUGUGUCUUUAGUCUGUCUGGAUGUCUGGUCUCAGAGAGGGGCGGGGCUGCUCUGGCCUCAGCUCUGAGCUCCGCCUCCUCCCACCUGAGAGAGUUAGACCUGAGCUACAACCAUCCAGGAUCCUCAGCAGAUCUCCUGACCGCUCUACAGGACCAGCGCCCCCUGCUGACUGUCAGGUUGGAUCCUUGUGGAAAGCGCUGGAUGGUUCCAGGUCUCAGUAAAUAUUAUUGUGAACUCACCCUGGAUCCAAACACGGCGCACAGAGAACCUCACAGUGUCUGAGGACAAACGGACUGUGGAAUUAUAUCAUCCACUUCCUCCUCCUCCUCCUCCGGAUCAUGAGGACAGAUUCACAGACUGGUGUCAGGUCCUGGGCUCCUCCGGCCUCAGGGGGCGCUGUUACUGGGAGGUGGAGUACUGGGGGAAUGUUGAUGUAGCAGUGAGUUACAGAAGAAUCAGAAGAAGAGGAAACGGUGCAGAGUUUGGACACAAUGAUCAGUCCUGGACCAUGAGGAUCGAGGGAGGAAAAUACUCUUUUUUACACAAUGAGACAAAAAGGCCUGAUUUUCCCCUUUCCUCCCUCUCCCCUCCACAGUGGGCGUGUUCCUGGACUCUGAGGCUGGAGUUCUGUCCUUCUUUAAGGUCUCUGAUGAAAGACUGUUCCACCUCCACACCUUCAGAGCCUCCUUCACUGAGCCUCUGUUUUUGGGGUUUGGACUGAGGGGGAAGAACAGUUGUGUGUCUCUGUUGAACAUGAGGAGGUCACAGCGCCCCCUGGAGGACGCCUCUUCUCUGUGAGCUGAGCAUGUGUUCAUGUGUUCAUGUGUUCAUGUAUUCAUGUGUUCAUGUAUUCAUGUAUUCAUGUAUUCAUGUGUUCAUGUAUUCAUGUAUUCAUGUAUUCAUGUAUUCAUGUGUUCAUGUAUUCAUGUGUUCAUGUGUUCCUCAGAGUUUGUCUCAUCUGUUUCUUCUCUUACACCAAACACAGGACAUUUAGAAAAAGUUUUAGUUUCUCUGUUGAACUUUAA